GAUGAACGCUGGCGGCGUGCCUAAUACAUGCAAGUCGAGCGAACGGACGAGACGCUUGCUUUUCUGAUGUUAGCGGCGGACGGGUGAGUAACACGUGGAUAACCUCCCUAUAAGACUGGGAUCACUUCGGGAAACCGGAGCUAAUACCGGAUAAUAUUUUGCACCGCAUGGUUCAAAAGUGAAAGACGGUCUUGCUGUCACUUAUAGAUGGAUCCGCGCUGCAUUAGAUAGUUGGUAAGGUAACGGCUUACCAAGGCAACGAUGCGUAGCCGACCUGAGAGGCGGAUAGGCGACACGGGAACGGGGACAGGGUCAAGACUACUACGGGAGGCAGCAGUAGGGAAUGUGACGCAAUGGGCGAAAGCAUGACGGAGCAAGGCCGCGUGAGUGAUGAAGGUCUUCGGAGCGUAAAACUCGGUUAUGAGGGAAGAACAGAUGUGUAAGUAAAUGUGCACAGCUUGACGGUACCUAAUAAGAAAGCAACGGCUAACUACGUG
rnacentral:rRNA from 1 species